AGCCAUGGCCCGUGGGCACCAGAAGAUUCAAUCCCAGCAGAAAAAUGCUAACAAGCAAGCCGAGCAGAAGAAAAAACAAGGGCAUGAUCAGAAGACUGCUGCCAAAGCGGCCUUAGUAUACACCUGCAGUGUCUGUAUGGUAAGAGGAUCUGAAGACCAAGCAUUCCUCUGGGAAAAUCCUAGCCUAGGAUAGGAUCCACUUAGAAGGAAGCUGUUACUGCACAAUGAUGUCAAUAUUUCCCUGUGGUAACAGGCCAAAAGGCAGAUGGCUCUUAAAGAAAAAUGAACUGCUUUGGAAUAACUGUCACACACAUUUUUCCCUUACAAUUUGUGUGUAUGCAAAUAAGUGUUUUGAACCUCAGAGAAGAAUGCUAUAUAUUCCUUCUCUGUCUGAUGCGCUUUGCACGAGUUGUGACAAGUUGCCCUAAACAUGUGCUUCCUGUGCUUAGCUGUGGUUGUUACAGGGUUACAAAGAUGUCCAAAAAUGACAACCUUUUUACUGUAGGGCAGUUUGCAGGAAUUGGGUUGAAAAACUGGACCAGAAGGACAGUAUAUCUGAAGUGUGAUAGCUUUAAUCUGAGAUUCCUAGACACAGAUGCCUGACCCAAAGACGUUCAAGCAGCACUUUGAGAGCAAGCACCCCAAAUCCCCGAUGCCACCAGAACUAGCUGAUGUGCAAGCAUAAGAUGUGUUUUCAGACUACCUUCAAGCCACAAGCCUACCUGUCAACAGCCCCUCACAAAUACCUAGUCCUGCACCUGUGUUUUCAUGUUGAACUGCAGAAACGUGUUAACAAAGGACCUUCGGAUUACUGAGAAUGGCGGCGUGAUUCAAUACAGCCAGUUGGCCACUUUGCAAUGAUGCUGUGGAAAAUGCAUUUCUACAAGAUUUAAAAGAUACCAUUCACUAAGAUGUUUUGCAAGUGUCCCUGUGAAAAUGCUGCAUUCUGCUUUAGUUGCAUGUUACUGGGAUGCCCAUUUCAAGCAGUUGUCACUUACAGUGGUCGGAUACCUUUUGUGUUCCUUACCAAAAUAAUUAUUGCAUUUGGUGAAAAAUGGCAAGGGAUGCCAUGCUAUGAGAGAGACAAGAAACAGUACUGUCACCUUUAGGGAAAUGUGCUGGGCUACGCAGAUUGUGGAAUAUUUUGUACAGUAUGUUUUCAUGAUAACACACAUAUGGUCUCUUUCCCCACCAAAUGAAGUUCAAGAAUCCUGCUCAUUAUUUGGAGCCACCUUUGCCCAGUUUCAUCACCAUAUGUUAAAUGUUUUUUUUUCCCCAUAACAGCAAUGCAAAGUGGCCAACUGUCUAUAAAGCCUAUAUUUUUAGCCUGUAACUUCUGUAUAAGUGUACACUAUAGAGACGCUGCAUAGUUUUGUAAAAGCAUAAUUUUUACACUUAGUUUCUGUUCAUAUUAUAUAAAAUAACAUUAAUAAAGUAAUACUUUGGUACAUUUUCCAGCAUUUUUGUCUGGUCUGCAUUAUGAUGUCUUA